GGCUCAGGAUGAACGCUGGCGGCGUGCUUAACACAUGCAAGUCGAACGGAGUUUUAACGGAAGUUUCGGAUGGAAGUUUAAGAACUAGUGGCGGACGGGUGAGUAACGCGUGGGUAACCUGCCUCAUACAGGGGGAUAACAGUUAGAAAUGACUGCUAACACCGCAUAAUAUAGUGAAACCGCAUGAUUUUUGCUAUCAAAAUAUUUAUAGGUAUGAGAUGGGCCCGCGUCUGAUUAGCUAGUUGGUGGGGUAAAAGCCUACCAAGGCGACGAUCAGUAGCCGGCUUGAGAGAGUGACCGGCCACAUUGGGACUGAGACACGGCCCAAACUCCUACGGGAGGCAGCACGUGGGGAAUAUUGGACAAUGGGGGAAACCCUGAUCCAGCCGACGCCGCGUGAGUGAAAGAAGUAUUUCGGUAUGUAAAGCUCUAUCAGCAGGGAAGAUAAUGACAGUACCUGACUAAGAAGCCCCGGCUAACUACGUGCCAGCCGCCGC
rnacentral:rRNA from 1 species